rnacentral:rRNA from 1 species
UACGGGGGGGGUAAGCGUUGUUCGGAAUUACUGGGCGUAAAGCGCACGUAGGCGGAUUUGUAAGUCAGGGGUGAAAUCCCGGGGCUCAACCUCGGAACUGCCUUUGAUACUGCAAGUCUUGAGUCCGGAAGAGGUGAGUGGAAUUCCUAGUGUAGAGGUGAAAUUCGUAGAUAUUAGGAAGAACACCAGUGGCGAAGGCGGCUCACUGGUCCGGUACUGACGCUGAGGUGCGAAAGCGUGGGGAGCAAACAGGG